rnacentral:rRNA from 1 species
GACGAACGCUGGCGGCGUGCCUAAUACAUGCAAGUAGAACGCACAGUUUAUACCGUAGCUUGCUACACCAUACACUGUGAGUUGCGAACGGGUGAGUAACGCGUAGGUAACCUGCCUGGUAGCGGGGGAUAACUAUUGGAAACGAUAGCUAAUACCGCAUAAUAUUGAUUAUUGCAUGAUAAUUGAUUGAAAGAUGCUAUUGCAUCACUACCAGAUGGACCUGCGUUGUAUUAGCUAGUAGGUGAGGUAACGGCUCGCCUAGGCGACGAUACAUAACCGACCUGAGAGGGUGAUCGGCCACACUGGGACUGAGACACGGCCCAGACUCCUACGGGAGGCAGCAGUAGGGAAUCUUCGGCAAUGGACGAAAGUCUGACCGAGCAACGCCGCGUGAGUGAAGAAGGUUUUCGGAUCGUAAAGCUCUGUUGUAAGAGAAGAACGGGUGUGGGAGUGGAAAGUUCACACUGUGACGGUAUCUUACCAGAAAGGGACGGCUAACUACGUG